rnacentral:rRNA from 1 species
GACGAACGCUGGCGGCGUGCUUAACACAUGCAAGUCGAACGGUGAAAGCGGAGCUUGCUCCGCUGGAUCAGUGGCGAACGGGUGAGUAACACGUGGGCAACCUGCCCCUCACUUCGGGAUAACUCCGGGAAACCGGGGCUAAUACCGGAUAUGACCUCCUUGGGCAUCCUUGGAGGUGGAAAGUUUUUCGGUGAGGGAUGGGCCCGCGGCCUAUCAGCUUGUUGGUGAGGUAGUGGCUCACCAAGGCGACGACGGGUAGCCGGCCUGAGAGGGCGACCGGCCACACUGGGACUGAGACACGGCCCAGACUCCUACGGGAGGCAGCAGUGGGGAAUAUUGCGCAAUGGGCGAAAGCCUAACGCAGCAACGCCGCGUGCGGGAUGACGGCCUUCGGGUUGUAAACCGCUUUCAGCAGGGAAGAAGCCGCAAGGUGACGGUACCUGCAGAAGAAGCACCGGCUAACUACGUGCCAGCAGCCGCAGUAA